rnacentral:rRNA from 1 species
GACGUAGGGCGCGAGCGUUGUCCGGAUUUAUUGGGCGUAAAGAGCUCGUAGGCGGCUCGUUGCGUCGGCUGUGAAAACCCGCAGCUCAACUGUGGGCUUGCAGCUGAUACGGGCGGGCUUGGAUUCGGUAGGGGAGACUGGAAUUCCUGGUGUAGCGGUGAAAUGCGCAGAUAUCAGGAGGAACACCGGUGGCGAAGGCGGGUCUCUGGGCAGUAACUGACGCUGAGGAGCGAAAGCGUGGGGAGCGAACAGG